GAUGAACGCUGGCGGCGUGCCUAAUACAUGCAAGUCGAGCGAAUGGAUUAAGAGCUUGCUCUUAUGAAGUUAGCGGCGGACGGGUGAGUAACACGUGGGUAACCUGCCCAUAAGACUGGGAUAACUCCGGGAAACCGGGGCUACUACCGGAUAAUAUUUUGAACUGCACGGUUCAAACUAGAAAGGCGGCUUCGGCUGUCACUUAUGGAUUGACCCGCGUCGCAUUAGCUAGUUGGUGAGGUAACGGCUCACCAAGGCAACGAUUCGUAGCCCACCUGAGAGGGUGAUCGGCCACACUGGGACUGAGACACGGCCCAGACUCCUACGGGAGGCAGCAGUAGGGAAUCUUCCGCAAUGGACGAAAGUCUGACGGAGCAACGCCGCGUGAGUGAUGAAGGCUUUCGGGUCGUAAAACUCUGUUGUUAGGGAAGAACAAGUGCUAGUUGAAUAAGCUGGCACCUUGACGGUACCUAACCAGAAAGCCACGGCUAACUACGUGCCAGCAGCCGCGGUAA
rnacentral:rRNA from 1 species